rnacentral:rRNA from 1 species
AGACCUGGAGCGAACCCCAAAAAGGAACGUCCCAGUUCGGACUGUGGUCUGCAACCCGACCACACGAAGCUGGAAUCGCUAGUAAUCGCGGAUCAGAAUGCCGCGGUGAAUACGUUCCCGGGUCUUGUACACACCGCCCGUCACACCAUGGGAGUCAGCAACGCCCGAAGUCAGUGACCCAACCUUUAAGGAGGGAGCUGCCGAAGGCGGGGCAGGUGACUGGGGUGAAGUCGUAACAAGGUAUC